GUGAACGCUGGCGGUAGGCCUAACACAUGCAAGUCGAACGGCAGCACAGUAAGAGCUUGCUCUUACGGGUGGCGAGUGGCGGACGGGUGAGGAAUACAUCGGAAUCUACUUUUUCGUGGGGGAUAACGUAGGGAAACUUACGCUAAUACCGCAUACGACCUACGGGUGAAAACAGGGGAUCUUCGGACCUUGCGCGAUUGAAUGAGCCGAUGUCGGAUUAGCUAGUUGGCGGGGUAAAGGCCCACCAAGGCGACGAUCCGUAGCUGGUCUGAGAGGAUGAUCAGCCACACUGGAACUGAGACACGGUCCAGACUCCUACGGGAGGCAGCAGUGGGGAAUAUUGGACAAUGGGCGCAAGCCUGAUCCAGCCAUACCGCGUGGGUGAAGAAGGCCUUCGGGUUGUAAAGCCCUUUUGUUGGGAAAGAAAAGCAGCAGGUUAAUACCCCGCUGUUCUGACGGUACCCAAAGAAUAAGCACCGGCUAACUUCGUG
rnacentral:rRNA from 1 species